UCACCGUGGCCGAGGCGACGCCGGUGUCCGCCAGGGUCAAGUGGUGCGGCUCCCAGCGGCGCAGGAACUUGGAGAGGGGCCGCGCCGUGACCGCCGCCGCCGGGACGAGAACAGGGACUCGGGGGGACGGGGACGACGAGGAGGAAGAGGAGGAGGAGGAGGAAGAGGCCGGGGGGAGCCGCCCGGGAAGGGCGGAGGUGCGCGGCCACACACCUGCGCGCCUCGCCGCGGCCGCCUGCCCUCCGCCAUGCGGGGAAGCCCCGCGCGGCGCGGGCUGUGAGGAGCGCGUUGGGGAAUAAAUGGAUUUUUUUUCUCUCUUUCUCGUGGUAGACCUCGUUUUCUCGCAGCCCCCGCGCUGGCAGCAGCCCAGGGACGGGGCCGCGGCCCUCAGACGGGUCCGGUGGCUUCGCUCACCUCAGAAAAGGGGUGGGAGAGCCCCGCGCCCGCCGCUCCCCUGAGGCACCUCGGCGGGGCCGUGGUCAGCGGGAGGCUGUGUCCUCCGGUAACCCGGCAUCACAACGGCGGUAUUCCCCCAAAAAUAAAUAAAUGGGGAAAAAAAUAACUCCCUUCCAGGACUUUUAAACCGCUUAGCAGCUUGGUGAUGCUGCGCGCAACAUGGAUGCCGUAUCAAGAGACAUCGUAUCAUUUAUGCUCAGGUUUUUUCUCAUCAUUUUAAAAGCCAAGUUGCUCAUAGAACUCGGAUCUUGUUUGCAGUUUCCCGAUUGGAACCGACAUGUUAGGACCAAUAAAAAAAAAUAAAUUACUUUUUAUGUAAUUAAUACACACGUUAUUAAGCAGUGCAACACACCACUCUGGGUAUUGCCAGGGUCACGAAUUCAGGAGGAAUUUACAGGGCUGUUUUACGCGACGCUAGCAAAACAUUUGGAGAAAGUAUAAACCCUCAUGCUGAGGAGUUUAAACUCAUCCUUAAUUGAGGGAGGUUGGGAAAGGGAAGAUGUGCUGUGUGACGAGCAGAUGGUUACACGGCGUGUACCUGCCGCUGGGUUUCUGGCAGCAUCUCCCAGUGCAGUUCUCAAAGGAGAGGUCACGAUGCCAAGCGAGGUGCCAGCAGCGGAGCCAGGAGCCCGCCCAAGAGAAAACUCUUUCAUCUGAAACUCACGUUUGCACUGGGAGUCACACAAAUCGUUGGAGAGGCGAGCUGCAACUGGAAGGGUUUGGAAGCUUUUUGCCAUAAAGCCUUUUGUACUGGCUGCUGUCAAAGACAACACCUGACUGGACAGACAGCAAUUCCUGCGAGCAUCACACGUGUUGUUAUAAAGCUAUUGUAUUGAAAUAGGCUGGCAUUUGACAGCAGAACUGCUGGUUAAACACUUUCAGGAGGGAAGGGGUUUGUAACCUAUCAAUUACCCGCAAACUCUAGGGAUACUUUUGUUGAACGUUAGCAUCAAAAUUAUUUAUAAAAAGCUAGGAAGUCGAAUGAGUACUCUUAAGUACCAGUUUAUAGAAUGAUGCACAGAAUUACACAAUUUGGCUAAGGUUAGAAGAAAGGCACUCAUUUAAUGACAUGAACGAUACAACCAACAGGAAGACAAAAAUCUGUUUUAUAGAGAUUCAAUUUGUCAAUAUCUAAGAGUCCUGGUAAUUACAUCCUGAACUUAAACAAACCGCCUGGUUAUUAUGCACCAAACACUACGAGCAGUUCCCACAGAGCUCCAUAUUCCAUAUACCGUGGGGGGUGAACAACACGCACUUUUACAACGAAAUCAAAUCAGAUCUACUCAUACGUGUAAAUAUGUGUGAAUCUGCAAUAAUAAUAAUAAUAAUAAUAAUAAUAAUAAUCUAAAUUUUGAAAGGACAGCUUUGCUUAGUUGUAAGCUUUUUACAGCAGGCACUGUCUGUUUCUUGGAGUUCCUUGAAUGCCCGGUACAAGGGAGACCUCUUCUUGUUUGACCCGAGGCACUGUUCUGGUACAAACAAUAACAGUGUCAACAGCAGGACUAUUCGCACACACUCACCUGCACCAACACUUCGAUCAGCCAGAACUGCAACCAAUGUGGCUAUUUUGGUGAAAGUUCGUGCAAACUAGCCACCUGCUCAAACCACUGCUUUAAAUCUACCAUAGUUGUCGUCUCUGACAGCUGUGUGCCAACGGGAAGACGAUAUGUAAAGAGUCUGGUGUUUUUAAGUGAAUUUCCUGGCAAAUUAGAGCAGAUGUUUUCAACUCGUGUUCCACAGAAGCUAACAAAUAAAGCAAGGGUGGUCGAUAGCAGCCAGCCUGGAAGGAUCCAAGCUCCCACUGGAUAUCCGCAGUUCAAAAGUGUUGAAAUCCACUGGGAUAUUGCAAAAGCACGGCACCACCACUAGCGAGUCAAGGACAGAGUUCCGAAUCCUCAGCAGUGCUACGCGUUUGCAGCUCACACUGAAUCCAUGCUCUCAGGCUGCAGGUGUUCUCUCUGGAGGAAACUCAGCACAGAGCGAUAAGAUCAAGGUAUGAAAUCUCACAUUGCCUGCCAGAAUGGGGCAACCAAAAACCCUGUCUGGACAAGUGAAAUCCAAACACGCUGCUCGCUGCGCAGCUUGCUGAAACGCACGUUAGCCAUCCAACCUGCAGCAAAGGGUUGGGAUGUGACCCAAGGCUGAACACGUUAAAACUAACACCGCUUCUCAUUUCCCUUAUAAACUAUAUCAAGCUGAAGCUGGAUGGAUUGUGUUCCCAGCUUUGUGCCUUUCCAAAGUCCCUCUUCUGGCUCUGUGCAGCCCCAUAGACAUCUCAGGUAUACAUGCACAGCAGUAUUGCACAGUGAAUUUUGGGGUUUACUGUAUUUUUUUUCUCCCAACAAUCCAUGUUUUAUGAGCAAAUCCAGUCAGAAGUUUACUCUGAAAGUGGGACAUCAUUCAUGUAAUAAAUACUGAGCACGUCAUUGAUAAUAGCGUAUCGGUGGAAAUGUACCUCUACAGGUGUUUAUGGGCAUGCUAUCAGUUUUGAAUAAUUCAAAAGUUUGGAAGUUUUUCUUCGAAAUACUUCAUCUCGGCACUAAUCAGUCUCGCUAGCUGUCAUGCAGUUUAAGGCAGACUUCUCGGUCAGCAAAAGAGGAAUAGAAUUGGACGUUUUUUUUUCCAUUCUCAAAGCUAAUUCAGUUGUGAUCUGUAUUAUUCAGAAUUCACCUGCUCAGCUGUACGCUUGUAAAACCAGGAAGGCCCAUUUGCAAGUUUCAGCUGUGUGUCCAGUCUUAAAAAAAAGAACUUUUCGUGCAUUUCCAGUAUUUGGUCUCUUGCCUGUCUACGCUCCAGCCCAUCAGGUGUUCUACUGAGGUCAUGUGUGGGUGCCGAAACAGAAGCGCUGGCCUGCCUUACCUUCUUAAGCAUGGUAAUGCCCGUUCAUACCCAUGUGCUAGAACAAAAACAAUGUGACAUUCUGAAGGAAAAGACGACAGGCAAUUUGUGAGUACUGCUCAGUGCCAAUAAGGCAGGUUGUGUAGCAGUGGGGGGCUUGGAAAACCCAUGAGAAAACCACUUGAGGUGCCAAAACAUAGGCAGGGAAAAAACUAUUGCCCAAAGGGACCUUCUGUGAGAGUAAAUCCAUGCAGUGGCAUUGUAUGACAAGCUAAAUGAGGGGAGUAAAGGAGCAACUGUGGCAAGGGCCAGAUAUAAAUACUGAGAUGGCUUAGCAGGGGAUGCACUUAAGAGGGGAGAGAGCACUCUCCCCAGAGAGGAUUAGCUGGAUUUGUAGUACACUUUCAAAGGGAAAACAAGAAAAAGGAAUAAAAUAAGCCUGUACCCCACCUUUGCAUUAUUCCUAAUUUAUUUCACAGAUUAUGGUAUUAACAGAUGUUUUGGCAAGCUCUUUCCCUAGUCCAACCAAAGAGGGAAGAAAAAAAAUCUGCUUUUAUUGUCUCACUGAAUUUUUUUGUUAGAGGCUGGAAGGGCCUGCCACAUUCAUAAUUUCUGUUAAAACCAAAAAACACACACAAUACAACAAUCAAAAAAAAAAAAAGUUGCUAUUGUCUGCUCAACACGUUCCUGAGAGUUGUCUGUACAGAGAUGUAAGAGAGUUUUUCCAAGCAGAGAAGCAAGCACCAGGAAUUCCCAACUUGUGUUCAACGUCCAUUUAGACUCUUACGCAGCAGCUGUCCCUCUUACAUUUGAACCCUUGAUGCAUAUUAGAGAUAAUGGAGCUUUCUUCCCUUAGUCACAGAGGUGCUGUGUGGAUUAUGGAAUUCUUUAGUCAAUGCUUGCAAAUUGCCACUGUUGACUCAGAGCAAAUUCCUGCUAUCAAACUCACUAGUCAGCUCAUUUUCAUAACAAUGCUGUAUUGUUAAAAAAUACUUUAAAACCAUUCUUCAGUGAAACUGGGGAAUACAACAAAUUCAAGCAAACACACAAAACAUAAAAGAGAUGCUGUAUCAAUACCGCUAAAAGUCCUGCAUUUGAAGUUUAAGUUAAUCACCACAGUGGCAUUAGGAAGAUACAGUGAGUCAUAAAACUUUGAGAAACUGAAUUGUUUCCCAAAAGGAUUGAUGGACGUUUAAAACCUAACUAGAUAAAGAUUAAAGAAACCCACCCACCCCCCCGCAAGGAGCAGUUCUGCAGUUGCCCCUAAGGGAAGGAUGGGCUUGAUUUGGAUGCCAUUGACCACAGACGCAUAAAAUUAAGAUUGCAUUUGCAAGCAUCUCUUUCUUUUUGCCAAAUCUCUCACCACCCACUUCUUCCGAGCCUAACCUUAACUUUGGGGGACACUUCUACAGAUGAAGUCAUAAGAGGAAAGUCAGACUCCAGGAAUGUGACAUCUCUGACGUUCAGAUUUUGACUCCUCUCGGAUUCACUCAGUCGCUGUGUCCUUGUUUUCCCAGCUGAUGGACAUCACACGAUGGGGCUAACCGCAUGCCGCACAGGCUGAUGACAAACAUGUCUUUGAUUCCUCACUGACACAAUGCACACUUUUGAGUGCAUGAUGCAGAAAUCAUACUUUUUUUUCUGCCUGUCAUCAUCAGAUGCUCCGCUAUAAGGGUAUGUAGGAUGAAGCUGGUGGUAUCAAUUGCUAGAAGGAGCCUGCCAUCUGCUGAUCUGAACGGCAAUCCAGUCUAGCUUUUACCUGAUCUGAUAUUAGUAGCACGGAGCUCUGUACAAAGCAGGUAAAAAUGUCUGAACAGAACCAGCAUUAACAGACUUGCUGUGGUAAAGGAAUUUAUUUAAAUGGAAAGAGGAAGUCUCAAGUCUAUAACCUCAUGUCUAAGUCUGAAGCAAACAGAAACAAAGAGGCAACUAAAAUAAACAGACGAGUAGAUAGGAAGGAAAUCAGCAGAAGGUACAAAAAGAGGAGGAAGAGCCUGAAAUUUCUUCUCUGCUUUGCUGCACCCGGUCAGAAAAUGAGCCAAGAUAUCAGCCCUUGUUCCCCUGCAUUCACCCUUCUAAGAGACAGCAGCCUUAGGUGGUAAAUUUCUUCUGUACGAGCUCCUACCUUCCUCCAGGGCCACCCACAUGGCCAGGCACGAAAAAGCCCAGGAAAAACUAAAGCUCCCCACAAAAUUCACCAGGCUGCUGCCUCUUUUUCCUUGAAGAUGGACGUAAAAAACUUUCAUUCGGCACGACCAUGGAGAAGUCACCAUUUCCAUUAAACUGUCUGCAUUACUGUAACCUGAUCUUCCCAACCCCAGCUAAUUCUAUUUCAUCAAUAGUUUACAUCCUACCAGCCACACCAAGCUGAGUGCUUGUCAGUCCAAAGUGCACUAUUAGGUCUCAACCCUCAUAAAACAUCACUGUAAUAAAAAUAAGCAUUAAAAGUCAAAGGGAAAUGGGAUAUGAUGCAGAGCUGUGAGCUUGUUACAGUAAGGUGAAGUUUCCCCAAAACAGAGGAAGAACAACUAAGAAAGAAAAAGGUAGUCUACAGAUUAGGGAAGUGUAUCUUCAGUCACUGAACCAACACACUGGGGAAGUGAAAUUAGAAGUGGAUGAAACACUGAAAGACUUGGAUGUUUUCAAAAGCCCACUGAAAAUUAAAAAAAAGAAAAAAAAAUAAAAAGAAAAAAAGAAAAGAAAAGAAAAGAAAAAGCAGAAUGGGAAAGUGUCAAAAGUAUUACCAGGAUUAAUAUCCACGGAUUCUCUGGUGAAGAGGUGUCAUAAAAGGAAGAAUGAGAAGAUAAAAGAGCAUCCUUAAUUGUUAUUUUUAAUAAUAAAUUCCUGUGUUAUGAUUGUUUCAACAUGACGUUGCAUAAAAGGCAGCUGAAGCUCUCCCACUUGUCCUCAGUCCUUUCUUAACAUCCCAUGCCAUGUGCAGGGUUCAGCAGCAAAGAAUAAACUCCCAUCCAACGACAGUGCACAUCAUCCAGUGCUUGUGGUUUUGUAAAUAUAUCUAAGGCAGUCCUUGGCCUAAGAAGUCUGAGAAAACAAAUACAAAGGACAGAGAGAAGCAUCAAUUUAACACACUGCUGUUUUUCACAAUUUACAGAUUCCCAGGUACAACUAAAGAAAUCGGCAGUUUGGGUACGCUUUGGUAAUUAUGCACCUUUUAAUUCUUACCAGCAGAGCAUAGCUGGUUUCUUGGAAGUAUAAUAUCCUUGGUGUCUUUGCAGUCUAAGGGGAAAAUAAGAGAAUCUCAGUGAUUUGCCUAGGACAGUCCCCAGCUGACAUGCAAAAGAGCAGAGCAAGAUGAUGACAAAUCCAGAGAAUUACAUGAAAAGAACAGAUGGUCAGUAAUGGUAGAUUUCACCCACAUGGACAGACUGUACUAUACACCUAGAAGAAAUGCAACAGACAUCAUGACCAGAAGAAAAAAAAAAAAAAAGAGCUUAAAGAAAAAAUAAGCAUACAGUUUGGUAGUGUCCGAGGCUGUAUUGACCACAGAAAGCAGGGUUUCUGAGCAACCACACUAUUGCAAAAGUGUGUUUUCCAUGAUAUACCAACUCGGUUUCCAAUGUAUAAGGCCGUUUUUUCGUGAUACAGAAAAGAUAGGCUACGAGGAACACAUCUUGAUUAAGAUUUUCAUUGAUGCUGUGGAAAGCUGUAAGACACAGAUGCGGAACGAGACGCUAGGAAAGGAUCCCCUGUCUGGCACCAGCUCCUGAAGCCAUCAGGAGGACGUUGCGAGCACUCUGUCUGGGACAGCUGUUGGUGGAAAACAACCCGCGGAUCGGUUAAUUUAACUCCAUCAGCAAAUUGCACCAGUGCAGGUAUCAAUUUACAUCAAUUAUCACAGCCACGCAGCGGAUGGGAGGGUCGGGAGGAGCUGCAGGAGUCAGGCCGUGUAAGGUGUGCAGCACCGAGGCUGUCGGCAGCACGAGCGGUAUGAAGGCACUGUGGGUGUCAGGUCGUGCUUGUGAGUACGGCCAGCCUGGGUUUGGCCUCGUCCAUUCUGCUGCCAGGAGCAAAGAUCAGAGCAGUUCUAAGCACUACCCAAUUUCUGACAGCGAAACAAGAAAUAAAGAAAAUGUUGGGUGAAGUCAGCAGGGCUGGUGCUCUGUGUAGAAAGGUGCAAGCAGGGAUCACGGGGCUGGCUUAGCGCUGAAUGGUUUAGAGGCAUCCUACUGUCUCACUGAGAGCUCGGUGUGAGCGUACAGAGGCAGGUGAAUCCCGUGGCUGGAGGAUAUCUGGGGAGAUUUCAGUUAGCUUAGCAGCAUUUCUGAAUGAAAAACUGCAUGUGGGCCAGGAAAGAAAGAAGUCCAGCUAGAGGGUUACUCCAGGCAGCUGUUUCAGUUAACUUCUCCCGUUAAAUGGUGGGGUUAACUGAGUACCAGCCGUUAAUGAAUCUUGGUGUUUCCUAAUGCCCUGCACUCUGGGGGCAGCAGGCAUUCAGGAGCACAGCUAUUUAAUGCAUUUGGAGCCGUGAAGCUGGGUUCUGGGAAUAAUUCUUCCCGUCACUGUGCACAGGGACUACAGCAACCAUUUCCUAAAGCACAAAGGAUGCAAGCAGCUGGGAAGGGAGCCAUUUUAAGGUCAAAGAACUAGCUUUCUACUAAUGGAUCUGAGCACCUGUAAAUGAAUAUCCAAAGGAGAGUUAUGGAAAUCAUGGCAGGCUGAUUGUUUCCUUUCAUAGGUUUAUUUUUAGAAAGAAAAAAGGAAGACAGAGACUGCCCAGAGCAAUCAGAGGAGGGAAUUUAGGGAUGCAGUUCCUGGAAUCAUUCAUUGCCUGGGAAGAGGGGAGGAUUUCAGGAAAGGCUGCUGCCCUGUUUUCACACCGACUUAGAUUACGAAACUGUGUGGGUUCACACUUGCUAUGCAGCUGUAGUUGCCUGUCUUAGGCUAAGCCAAUUAGUCCAAAAGAGCGAAUAAAGAGAGAUCACCUUUAAUAUGCGGUGCUGCCACUGCUUCCAAAAUACUUUCCUGUGGGCACUGAAGCGAUGUUUUCACUCAUCCACCAGUAAAAACGCAGCCUUAACCCAUCUGCCUGUGCCUCUGUGUAUAUAUCUGGGUAAUUUAAUAAGUGCUGCUGGGUGUUGAUUUACGUCAUUGUAUCUCUAUAUAAGCAUGUCUCUGUGAGCAUGCUGUUGGUUGUCUGUGAGCGCUCAUUGUUCCUGGUGUGUGUGUGUAUGUCUGUGUGCCUCUCUCUGUGCCUGAAUGUGGUUUUGUUUAAAAUUUUUCCCUAGAAAAAACAAGGAGUCAGACGUUUCAUGAGGUUGUUAGUGAAAACCGAGGAGAGGAAGGAGGAGACUGGAAGGGAUAAUUUACUGAGAAAAAGGGGUAGAUUUGGAUACAGUUAAUCAUCUGCCUCAGCGUUCACCAGAGAAGAUGGGGGAGUUCAUUCCAGACAUUAAAACGUCUCAGGGGAGGAUCGUAUAGAUCAUGCUAGAAGAGAGAUAGAAACAGUAAAUUACCUAAAGGCUGACAAAGCAAUGGAGCCAGAUGUCAUCUGAUCCCAAAGCAAGAAUAAAAGCAGGGAGAGAGAGAAGCUUCCCAAGGUAUGCCCAGGAUUCCCUUGGAAACUGGGGGUAGAGAUUGGGAAAACUACUUCUAACCCCCAUCGGCGAGGCAGAUCUCUGGAAUACUGGAUUAAUUUUGAACCCAUAACCUGGUUCCAGCUGUAAUUCCGGCUCAUAGGGGAAAGGCAUUAUUCUGAGUCAGAAUGCAGAACAAAAGAACAUUAAAAUCGAAAUAAGUGCAGUUUCCCAACAUGCCAGCAUCCCUUGAAAAAUAAGCCUCAAUAAUGGCCCAGGAACACUUUCAUAACAUAAGUCUCCUUGAACCGACAGCAAAAGGGCUCCUACAGAUUUUCCAGCUCCGGUGCCCAGAUCGCAUUGCACAUACAGCUUGUUUUCCUGCACUUAAACAAUCGUGGGCCUGACUCACCGCCCCUUUGCCAUGGUGCUGGGCCAGCUCAGCUGCAGCGUAAACAACCCACCUCGGUGGCACCUCACCAGAGCAAACACGGGGGAGCAGCCGCCGCCGAGCCCUGCACGGUGACGUUCUCCGCUUCAGAGAAGAGAAAGGGGAUUCCUAUUUCAGAAGGUGCUACACAUCGUAAGACCACAGGAGACGUAAGGAUUUUCUGGACAUUCACUGGAUGUGUCCUCAUAUACCAGAAAAAAACAGGAAUUUUUGGCAGUGGUGCUCUAAGGACAGCGAUCCUGCUCACACCCAACCUGUACUGGCCUCUGUUAACCAGAUAUUGUGAACACAGAAGCGUUUGCAAAGUGCUGGGUAUGUUACCCAUGUCCUCCGUGACACUUUGGCUGUGAUUCAGUGUAGUACCUGAGAGGUACCAGGGACGUUUUCUAUAAAUCCUCUGCAGAGGGACCGACUUGCCUGCUCGGUACAACUCUUCCCUGCCGUGCUAUUAGACAUGAAGAACAUCAGCUCUGGCUGUUACAUGCAUUUCCUAGAAGAGGUAAAAGAAACAGAGGAAAUUAGGUCUAAUAGCCCCGCAUACAAUUCUUCAGAUGAAAGUUGCCUAACAAAAAUAUUUCCUGCAAUAAAAUACUACCCUCCUUUGUACAGAGCAAAGAAUGGCUCGGAUUUUGAGGCAGCUGGAUACUUGCUAGCUUCCCUAUAAAAAUCCACACUGAAUUCAUAAACAUUUGAUGAUCCUGUCCACACUUGUCCUUUUCAAGAAGUUUUCCCCACGGUCCCAGAUAGGUUUUCCCUAAUUAACACCCUCAAAGUGAUUUCUCAUUACAGCACACCGUCAGCAGCACCCCCACAUGCUUCUCCAGCCUGCUGUCUGUCCUGGUGUCGGUGCUGAGCCCACAGGAUGACCACCAGCGGGACCAGGAGCAGCCAUGGGACCCAUCUGCCAUAAAAUCCAGCCGGCCAUUCCCUGGCGCUCGGUGCGUUACGAUGGGAUGUGUCAGCCAGGGCUAUUGUUUUUAACAGGAAGCAAGUUCAGCCGCCUCUGUAAUUUAGAUUGCGGGCAAUAAGCAGGGGUGUGGUGUGCAAAGCAAACAGCACAGGAUUAACAGCUCUUUUCGCCAGGGCUGCGGCCCACUGGAUCUUGUCCCCUGGUGGAGAGGGCUUCUCCUGGGGACAGCAGGCAGGAGCUGCCACCCGAGUGGCCUCCGGGUUUCCAACUGGAUGGCAAAGAUAACAGCACAGACCCACUCUCUGACAGACCUUUAGAGGCCGCUCAUCUUGAAAUGAGAUUACGAGAGAAAAUUAAGAACAGUCUUCUCCUUUCAAUAGGUCUUUAAAAACAAUAACCAGGCUUUACUGUAAAUUCAUUUAUUUACCCUCAGCAUGCCAAUUCCCAAGCUGUUAUCUCCUCUGUGUACCGGGGAUAUAUAUAGAUUGAAAUGUGGCAAGAACACAGAAAGAUUUUAUUUAUUUUGCGUAAGGACAGCGACGUGGGGAUUUUUUUUUCCCAGGAAGAAGUCACAUCAGAGAGUUUGUUAAAGAAAUACUAAGAGGUAAAUAAAAUCCAAAUUAUAUUUAGUUCAUAGGAGGUGACAAACACUAGUCAGGUUGACUAUUGCCUGGCUGGAAUUCAGUCAGAAACCACUGUCAAACAGAGUACAAAAAUACAGGAAGCAGAAGAGAGAGCGUGCAUUCAAGUUGGGCCUUGGCCUUGCUAAAGUGGGCACCAUUUAGCUGUUUAUCGCCAGCAUUUUUCCAAACUAGCUCUGAACGCAAGCAGAGGUAUCCGCAGUCAAACCCUGGCCUGCGUGCUGUUGACGUCGCCUGAACCACCCGAUCUGGAUCUCCAGAACAGCCCCACCAACCCCUUAUUUUGGAUGUUUCACACUAUGCAGAGGGCCAUUAGCAGCAAACACAAAAACCACGUCCCACCCUGCAGGACCACCACCUCCGGGGCUCUGCACGCGUCCUGUACUGCGCUGCAGCCAGGCACAGACAUCAUGCCCCGCUGCAGCAGUUACGCACAGGGCAGGUGGAUGGAGCACGGGCUGACAGAGGAAAGGUGAAGGUGAGUUUCUUUGUCAAAACAAAGCCUGAGAUGAAGCCAGCCUGGACAUCAACACAGUGGUGUGCGUUAGCCCGGGAGCAGCCUCAAGUAGAGGAUGAGGUCACCACAAGCAUUCAGAUCCCUGCAUCCAGACCUUCUGGGAGACGUCACAUGCAGGGCUGAGCUUCGUGCUGAUGCCCUAGAUCUAUCCAGCAAGCAAACCCAUUUUAAUUCACUCCUAAGGCAGACGCGCCUCCUCUCACCACUCUCUGCCAGCCCUCCUCGCAGCGCCCUGCUGGGUCAUCCCUCCCCACAGGGCGAGUUGGUGCUGCGUGGGGAGCAUCGGUCUUUCCUGGCACAGCAGCUCAUCACCCCACCGGACUGCAAGGAGAAUUGGCUGCUAGGGAAGGAGCAAGUGUGUGAGGGGAGAUUUUUUAACCUCUUCUUGCCUUGUUCUGUGUAAGAAAGCCCCCCAAACUCUCACUUAGGCAGCCAGUAAAAUUGCCUCCUUUGUUCAGCAGGAGGGCAGAAAGGACAUCUAACCAGAAUGACCGGAACAUAACUUCAGGAGUUAUUAACAUUUGUAAGCAUCUGCAGCCACUUCUGUGCUGUCCAUCAAAUGAACAUAUAAUUACCAAAUGAUUCCCCUACUUCUUCUUGGUUGUUGGGUUAUUAAGUGAAAGCAAAAAAUUAUACUGCUCACCUGAGAUAAAAGAGCCUGUGGAAAGCAGCCUGCCUUACAUUAGACUUUGCUAUGCUAACAGUGCUGUCUGCAGUCAAGAGUUCCUUCUCUAAGCACUUGAGCACUGUAAAGUGCUUGAGGAGACACCACCUUUGCCUAGAGAGAGAUUUGGGGCGAGAUUUUGGAAGAAAGGUUUGCAUACGAGUAGCGUGAUCACUGCUGGAAUGCCAGUUUCCUGCUAGACACACACACCGGUUUGCGAUCAGGGGCUCUUUUACAAAAGAAGAGUGACCUGCAAAGCCCCAGCCUUUCACAUUGCAAAGUGGCGGGGCCGCAAAGUGGCGGGGCGAUGCAACCUACAUAACGAAGGUGAGUCAUCGGGAAAGAAGGAUGGAGCUCCAGGGAUCUCUUCCUCAGCACAGACCUGCAAACACACCAGAAUAAUUUGCAUUCCACAGCUUGCUUUGCACAAUCCACAGAUAAAAAUCAGGCUUGGCAUGGCUGGGAUAACUGAGCAGCAUUUAGCAGCAGAACAAUGGGCCAGCUGGGGAAGCGGGUACUUAGCCAAAUACAAGCGGGCAAGUCACUUUGGGCAAGACGGUUACUUGGGGAUCGUACUCACCUCCCGGCGCAGGCAAAGUAAACUACAGUUUGACUGCACAGUAUGUAAGCACACGCAAACAAAGGCGGUGUCAACGGUCCAUUUGCUUCCAGAGCCGUGGCUGGGUUUGCCCCACAGUCCAGCACGUGGCCGGGCUGGCUGCAGGACAGCGGCUGUCCCCAGCAGCUGGGAGCUGGCACGGCCGCAUCCUGCCCCUGCCCGGGCUCUGGGCCUUCAGCAGCAUCGCACGGCCUGGCCUCCUCGCCCCCUGCAAAGGGGCAGAAGGGGAGUGGACCCCAGCCAGCUUCACGCCAAGCUGAAGGCUCCGAUGAGACUUCCCUGUCCCUGCAGCCAUCAGACACAUGACCGGGUGUGCUCAUACUGAAAGAGCACUGGAGGAAGUGGGAUUUGGCUCCGUGUGCAAGCAGCGGGGAGCCGGAUGAGCUUGGUCUGAAGUACACGACCAAGGCCAUGCGUGUUUGCAACACCGCGGCCACCCUCCCCAGGAACCUCUGGCCCUGGCUGCCUCAGCUCUGGCGUGCGGGCUGGGGUCGGGCCAGGGCCACCUGCCAACACCAGAAAGGAUGGUGCAUGGGGCUGCCCCGCGCUGCCCACCCCCUGCUUUGGGUCUGAGGCCACCUCCGCCUGUGACAGUGGCCACACGGGGAGUUGUUCCCCACCCAGCAGCUGCUGUGGGUUCCCCUGCAGCUGGGGUGAGGCUGGCUCCUUUCUGAACGGAGCCACAAUGCUGAUGUGGCAGAACAGCCCUGCUGCUGUGGGGCAGGGAUUUCUGCGGGUCAGCGUGAGAGCUGCAAGGCUUGGGAGCCAGAUGGGCUCCUCGGUGGUCCCCUUGUGGGCAUGCUCCAGCACUGGCACAUGGGGACCUUGGGGCACUCCGAGCCCCACGACACGACCCAACAACAAAAAUGGCAUUCAGGCACGACUUACCUCACAUGGUAAGAGGAAGUUUACAUACGGUUUGCAUAAUACUUGGGGUGCGAAGUCUCAGAGGAGGUUCUGGCGUCACCAACUAGCCUUGUGAAAGCAAACUGAAGUGUGUGAAUCUGCUGAAGAGGCUCCUCAAAAUUUGUGAGGGAAGGGACGCCUUCCUCUAACAGAAGCACGGGGGAAUACAGCCGAGGCUCCUCUCCCUGGGGAGCAUUGCACAACAUUUCUGCUGAGGAGUACGGGAGGAUUAAGAUGACUGGAAAAGCAAAGAGAACGAGCAGGGAGGACUAAGGUGCUGGAGCAGUUUCAUCUUGUUCACGCUUCCUCCUUCCAGCAGCAUCACUGUGCACUGAAGCAUUAAAGGCGAGAUUUCUUUGCAUCUUGUUGGGCCCUGUGGCAAAGGGAGAUAUCUGUCUGCCCCAGCAGCUAGGGGCGAGUUUCUGAGCAGGAGUAGUGCAGGAAAUUAUGCUUACCUCGCUGAAGAAGAAAUCAGGUUCUCAGUCAGCUGGCAGCAAGGUUUUCUGUAUGCGAGAAGCUCUAAACAGAGUCUUUCCAGUCAUGAGGGCAUCAGCUGCCUGCGUGGGCAGCCUUUUCUCCCUUCCCCUGCUCUCCACCCCAGGGUGGUGGCUCCGCUCCCCAGGUAACUUCUGGAGGCCCCGCACACUGCUAAGGAGGGCUGAGGGUCUCGGCCAUGACGGGUUAGUGCCCUGGGCCAGCAGUCUGUGAUACGGCAGCUCGGUUUUCUCCCGUCUAGAAGCAGGGAACAGGACAGACACAUCCUCCAAGGCAUGAGCUGACUUUGAAGUCAAGAGGACAGGUGAUAAUCUUCAGUGACUUCCUGGCAGCUCGAAGGAUCUGUCCCUCUCUAGCCCGCAAGUCACUUGGUGACAAGAGCAAGGAGCGGAGCUCAGGCCACCAGUGACAUUUGUCUGGCAUGGAGGAGAUUGAAACUACCACAGUUUCUAGUUUCUAGCCAUUCUCUGUUUGUAGGAAAAUAAACGGUAAAGGUUUGAGGCCUAUAGUAUAAAUAGAAACAGAUCGUAUUUAUGGGAAAGGAUAUAAUAUUUUUAGGUAAUAUUUGUGAUUUUGGUGACAUUCAUGAUUUAUUACGACUGCAGUGCAGAAACACUAAAUCUGCUUUGUGCUUUGGACAAAUCACUUAAUCAUACUGAUUCAUGGCAUCCAAGAGCUAAUGAGAAGAGUCUCUUACGCUAAACUUAUCACACAUGCGAGCUUUGUUUUGCCAGCCAGGACUGUGCCAGGAAAAAGCAAAUACCAAAAGAUUAUAGGCAACGGUAGCGGGUGUAGCAAUAAGGAUGAUCUUGAUAAUUACGUACCUCCAAGAGAGAGGAGAAACUUGUUUUGACUUGCAAAUGGAAUAAACCUGUCAUAGCUGUGAUAGGAGUCACCCAGGCUGGCAAGAAGUAGGUUCUUUUUUUCAGGUCUCUUUAAUAAACGGGUACGGUGGGGGAGUGGUGGAAGAGUCUGUGAGAAAUUCUGCUGAUAAGGCACUUCCCUGGUCCUUCAAAUGUUCAGACAUCCCGAUCUGCUCUGCUUUAAUUGAGUGCCAUUCCAGGCCCACACAACACUCCCUUGGCUGUCAGUCUGCUACAUUCACGGGGGGCUCUGCAAGCCAGAUCAGGAACUUUGCAAACACAAAACGUGACCAUAGCUCUACAUAUUUGCUGCACUGGGGACUUUGCAAUCUUACUGCUACAUAUAGACGUCAAACCCAAGAGCGACACCUGCAUCAUCACAAGUUGGAAACAGGAUGUGGUUUAGCCAAAGAAAUUUUACAGAAGAUUCCUUCCUUCCAGAUUUCUCUAGAAAACAGCGCACAAUAUAGAUGCCACGGCUAUGAUGAUGGCUGCUCCCUCUAUUAGACUACGUUAUUCUGCUGUUCCCCAACUCUGGUAAUUGUUGAAUUCAAUCACAGAGAUAGAAAGGACAUUGCUCUAUUUACUUAAUCACAAGUCCAAAGCGUAUCCACAGAACUGAACGUCCCACGGAAGUCCUGCAGGAAGAUGUUCUCUGGGCACACUGCAAAUAGUGGACGAAGUGGAAACGGCAAAAACGUCUAGUUCAAGUCACUUCUACAGGUAGGAACGCAUUCAGAAGAAUAUUGUACUUUCCUUUUCAAACUCAAAAGAUUGAUUGCCUACUCAAAAGUAGGCAGCAGCUGUGUUAUGCCUAGCAUAUUCCCAGCAGCAAGUAAGGCAAGGAAAAGUUAAUCUUGCAGAUCCUUAUAACAAUACAUUUGUACAACAAAGCACAUCCAAAGAGUGUCUGUCAUCUCAAAGGAAGGUCUGGUGCCAUUGUAAUUACAGCAACUCCAAUGAACAGGUUAGGCUAAGGAAAAAAAGAGCCCAGAAAGUUGGAGUGGGCAGUUAAUAGUAGGUAAAGAGAAGUUGAAUAAUGUCCUGCCAUGUCAAUCACCAGCCCAAUAUCUGCAGGGUGCAAAGCGCCAUCCAGCACGGAAACAAGAGUUGGGAAACACUGGGAACAAAUUGAGUGGUGGUGCGCUUGGUUCUGACACUACGUCUCUGAAUGGAGACAAAUUGAACGUGCCUGUGUUUAAAGCCACUUGUCUGACUUACGAAAAGUAUUGCGCUGUUAUUUCUGUACGGGGUUGUAAUGAGUACAGCACAGUUCUCUGCACAGGGAUUGUUUAACCUUAGCCAACGUCCCAUACCUGAAGGGUUCAUUUCAGAAUGUUCUUCUUCGGCCCUUUCCUCGUGUCAUUUCUUAACAUGUAGGUUACACAAUUAUUCAGCUGCAAACCAGCUUUGUUUCCAUUUUAGCUUGCACAACCUUCUUGCUCUCUUUAAACAAGAACAAGGUAGUGGCUUUUCUUUUUUUUUUUCUCCCAACUUUCAUUGAAAUAUUAAUAAUAAGACGGAAAAUUCCAGGGAGCAGUUAUAAAAAUGAGAAGGCUGGAUUAGCGUACAUCAAAGGGAAGCAGGGUUUGCUAACUCUUUUGGUUUACAUGUGUGUGAUUCACAAACCGCUUUAUGAAAAUGGAAGAAUGAUUUAGGAAUCACUCAGGUCCUGACAAAAAAUAAACUAAUAGUAACAACCUAAUUUCCAUGAAAAUGGGCUGGUCUCCAAAGCAUCUGCCGAGACCAGACAGCAUUGUGCUUGCAGCUUUUGUUUGCUCUUCAAAGCAGGUAGAGCCAGGAAUGUUCCCAUGCCUCAUGGCAAGCUCUAAGAUGUGGUAUGAGACUUUCAGAAGAGGGAAUUUUGCAUUUCUGCCUGAAUAUUUCACACUGCAACAGCAAGGAGAGCAGCACAGGCGUAGCUGAAAUGAGGAGACAGACUGAGAGGCAGCAAAUGGAUUCUGCAGCAUUAUUGUGCAAGGUGGGGAACUGAGGGCAAGUAAAAUCACUGGGAAAGAAGUUAAGGUAUAACUGCAAAUGAGCAAGACUUGCCUGAAGGAUCACCUGACGUCCAAGCCCUUUGCAGAGGUGCCUCAGGCCCGAGAGCAUCGCCCUUGGUUCCCCAGGCAGCCGAUGGACACAGGCAGGCCCACAGACAGGAGGACAGGCGAGAGCGGCCUUCUGCUCCAUGCAGGUGGGAGCAGCACGAUGCAUCUCGUAGGGGCUGACCUCUUGGAUCAGGCGGCUUUUAGCAUUUCAAAGCCUGUCUUUUCUUUGUGACUCCUACCCCAACCGAAAUAGUCAAGCGGGCGUACAGAGAAUCAGCAAAACCCCUCCUGCCCAGGCACCCUGAAAGGGAUCCUUACUGCCUGCCCUGCCAGCAAAUCACGCUGUGUGUCCCUUAAGGGCUUUCCUACUCCCGGGGCAGGAUUAGGGAAGGCGAGAGCAGCACGGGCUGUGGGAAAUGUCAGGGCCCCGCUGCCGGGGAGCUGAGCCCUGAGCUCGGCCGCGUCCCUGGGCGCAGGUAGGAAGGGAGCCAAGCGCUGCCACCUGCGGCGAGCUGCCGCUUUCCCGGGUGGCAAAGUUCAAACGCGCGGGGACAGAGCCCCACGGGACAGGGUGCGCCCACGGGCACCGCUGUGAGCGAGGGGGACGUGCCCAGCCCCUCUCCCAUCAAAGCAAGCGAGCCAAAAAGCAGCCUGAGAUCGCAGCCGCCCGACGUGCUGCUCGCGGCAGAGGCAGCAGGGUGGGGUAGAGUGCUGCGAGGAGGGGAGGCCGCUUUCUUCUCCGAGACAGAAAACAUCAAAGAUGCCCUGAAAAAUUAAAAGCUUCUGGACAGACGCUCUCAGUGUGUUUAAAAAAGCACAGCGGAUCAGUUUCAGAGCUCUCUUUCCAAAGGUCUUUCCUGAACACAAAGGGGAAAACACGCAUUAUAUGCAAUGGAAAAACACUGCAUGCCUGGCAUUUAAUAUUUUUCACCUGUGACCCAGGACUGAUGUCUUUUUAACUCCCUGAUUUAAUCCAACAACAAGUCUCAGGAAGAAAAAACCUUUCAGAGUUUGGAAAGGAGUUGGAAAAAACUAAAGUCACGCUCAACACUUCCCCUUCCCUGGAGAGAUAGGAGUACUGCUUGCCCUUUCCUGACGAUAAGCAUAUCCUGGUGGUUAAAAAUACAUUUGCUCUUACCGUAAAUUCUCCAUUAGCCAACUCCUUCAAGCCCAGCCCACGGUGUUGGGGUUCACGACUCCUCUGAGACCACGUGUGACAGAGCCAGGCCCAUGCAAGUCCAAAUACGCUGGAGAAAAAGCAAAAACAACCAGUCGGAUCCUGCGGCCAUUGGCUUCACCUGGAGCAGCAGUCAAGAUCUGCUGAGUGGCAACAACAACAUUCAGCUGAGUUACCUGCUCCUUUCCCAAGUCCCUGGGGACUCCCCAUUAGUUUUGGCUCUGACUUUAGAGCAAGUUGCAGACAGGAGGCAAAGGCCUAUUGAGUUCUGAGCAGCAAUUCAUUCUUCAGUUAAUUCCACGGUUUCCAGUGGUCGUUGUGCCAAAGCACAGAGAGUAGCGGAAGCAGGACUCGCUGCUCCUUUUGGGAUGCCAGGGGCCAGCAGCUGGUUACCUGCUCUGCAGAACGCCGUGGCAGCUUCCCCUCCUUCCACACUGCCUUCCUUCUCUUCACCUGGAAACGGGACCUGGUGGAGCCUGCUCAGACCCCUGGGCUCUGCAGGGGCCACGGGUGGCACCUCCUGGCAAGGAGGAACCUCCUGGGAAGAGCCUGGCUCUGCAGGGCUGGGGAUGCUCCCCCAGCAGCAAUACAGCUCCUAGCCCUUGCUAGGGAGAGAGCUGGUGGGACGCUGCUCGGGGCAGUAGAAGUCCCUUUGUGCCGCGGCUCUUGGCCAGCAGUGGGUGACCGUGCUUGCCUGGGGCACAGACAUCGCGGGGGGCCCGGGCCUGGCUGCGGUGCGCAGCCUUGGCACGCAUCCUGCCAGGAAGGGGGCGCAGGGAGGCCUCGCUCCCCGGCACUGAGCGCCCCAGCUGAACAGCCUGUUAGAUAAACUGCGUCUGGAUUUGUUUUGUGCCACCUUAGAAAAAUAAAAAAUAAAAUGAGGGGGAUAAAGAGGAAGAAAUGGAAAUUUCAAGUUAUACCUCCGCAGUGCACAAAAGGUAAGGGAAGCCAAGCAGCAGCUCUCCUCCCGCUGUUAGGAUUCCAGGCCGUGGAAUAAAGAUAAAUCCAAGUUCACCCUCGUCUCUUUGUUUCCAAGAAGCAGUAAGACAGAGGAGAUAUGGCAGAACCCAUCUACGCAGCCAUAACCAUGGGAACGCCAGCAACAAAGGUAAAUCAACAUUAGAUUCCCUAUCAUCAGCCCGUGUUUACACUGGAGGCCUCAGGCUCUCUGCACCAAACUGGCUGGCGGUUCAGGACCUGUGCUUCGCUUUGGGAUGGCUUCUGCAGCAAAAGGUUUUUACUGAGCAAACACCCACCUCUCCCUCCUAUUCCCCACUGUCUUUUUUAGUCUCACAGCACCCAUUUUUGCACUGUUUCAGAGCCAUGGAACUGCCAUCCCACCCUGCUCCCCCAGCCGAAGCCAGCCCCAAACCUUGGCUUUUCUUCGCAUCCGUUUGGCCAUGCCUCAAUGACUUUUUAUUGAAAAAACGGUAUAUGGAGCUUGGUGAAAUCACGGCUUUUCCUGAAGACCAGAGGUAUUGGAGUAGGGCUCCCUCCUCUCAAACAGCCAAAAGCCCUUGCUCUGGCUCUGCUCUCGCAGCAGAGGCAGCACAAGCAGAGGCAGUGGCAGACAAACCCUCGAAGGGACAAGCACAGCACGAAGGAAGCGCCCUGCAGCUGCUUGGCAUCUUACAAAGCCCAGAUCUCCAAACUCAGGAGGUUACGUACGCACAACAUAGCAUACGAGGGUCGCCAAGUAUCUGGCAGCCCUGGAACGAGCUCCAUGUACCUGCCCCUGGGAGCAGUUGUGCUUCAGCUCCUUUGCUCCUGUUUUUAAAGGUCAUGUGAAAGCGGCAGUACUUGGGAGGACUAACGAAGGUGACUGCAGAGGAGAAGGGAGACCUUCAAACAACUGUCCGAGCUUUUACAGAUGAGGUACCUCAAAGCUACCGAAAAUCAAGUGACCAGGAACAGCUGAGUCGGUACAGCAUUUUCAAAAAUCUAAAACUCUAGGAAUAGCUGACAAACUACUUGAAGACAGACAGACCGACCUUGCUGUAGUACAACAGAAGACUCUUCAGGACAUCCCUUUCUCAGGUUAGAAAGGGAAGGAGAAUUUGGAAUCCAGUGAUGCCUAUUUAGGAGCACGAGUGGCUCGACAGAGGCCAGGUGAGGAAGA